CCCUGUUCCUGGAGAGCCACCAUCCUGUAGGUGUUCACUCCAACCCUGUUCCUGGAGAGCUACCAUCCUGUAGGUGUUCACUCCAACCCUGUUCCUGGAGAGCUACCAUCCUGUAGGUGUUCACUCCAACCCUGUUCCUGGAGAGCUACCAUCCUGUAGGUGUUCACUCCAACCCUGUUCCUGGAGAGCUACCAUCCUGUAG